CUGCCUACGGGGGGCAGCAGUGAGGAAUAUUGGUCAAUGGUCGGGAGACUGAACCAGCCAAGCCGCGUGAGGGAGGAAGGUACAGAGUAUCGUAAACCUCUUUUGCCAGGGAACAAAGACUGGGACGCGUCCCCGGAUGAGUGUACCUGAAGAAAAAGCAUCGGCUAACUCCGUGCCAGCAGCCGCGGUAAUACGGAGGAUGCGAGCGUUAUCCGGAUUUAUUGGGUUUAAAGGGUGCGUAGGCGGCCUGCUAAGUCUGGAGUGAAAGGUACCGGCUCAACCGGUACAGGCUCUGGACACUGGCG
rnacentral:rRNA from 1 species